CAUGGACAGGCCGAGGAGGAAAUAGUUCCGAUAGUUGACUUGGAAAUAGUUGACUUGGAGGGAAGACCGCUUCCGGUGUUUCCUUUUGAGCCGUGUUUUGCCUGGGUCAAACCUAUUCCGAGGUGUCCUGCUUAUGAACGUUACACAUGCUGCAGACCAUGUAUCGAGCCGGCGUGUCGUACGAGAAUCGUAUGUGUGAAAUGUCGCCCGUGUACUGCUGGUUGCGUUUGUAUAGAUGGCUACAUACGCUCUACGACUGGCGGAAGAUGUAUUCCAAUUGCUCAAUGCAGAAGAAUUGAAAUCUUUUUCUAAAGGAAUUUUCCUUGGCCCGAAUUGUUAUCAAUAAACUGAAGAAGUUUUCCUUCUAAUUGCAAAUGAAACAAAAAUGUUUAAAAGUGUCAACAUUAUUUUAUGAAACAUGUAAAGAAGUGUCAAGAAGUUCGAAAAAUCUAGAAUUCCAAACACACUAUCAUAAAAUUUUCCCACCAGGGGACUUGCCGGUUUUGUGGGGCUUCGUCGGUCGGAGAUUCCAUGCCUAUAACCAGUAAAAAUAAGCUUCCUACUCAGUCUCCGCCUCCUAAGGAUUUCGCUGCAAGAACAGUACAGAAAAUUCAAGGUUAUUCCAGAAAUGUUCUACGACAACUCCCGCGUUCUGAAAUCAUAUGACUCCCCGGUCAGUCCUGGUGAAGUCCAUUAAAAUACAUCUCUGAUUUUAAAUGGUCGUCAGUGCGACCAUCUUUAGUUUGGGGCCCCAACUACCAUUCUACUUCUAGACUCCGUGAAGCUUGAUCCGCCACUGAUCAAACACCUCACUUCAUUAUUCCACGUUGGAAUUGUUUGUCCAACAGGAAAUGUAGAAUAUCUGGGGUUUCUAUUUCUUUUUAAAAAGACUAUAUAAAUAUUAUUGUCUUAGAAAGACUAACAACAUAAGCAACCAUUUUCGCCAUAUUGUUUGUACAUACGGGGUUUCUAGGGUGCGCUUGUGAUAUAUAAGCGAUGGCACACAGUCUUUGGUCUUACUGACUUUGGUUUUACUGAGCUGAUUUCAUUACCUCAGUAUGAAGCAUUCUGUAGCAUUCUUUCUGUUGAUCGUGAUGAUUGUACUUAACCAAGUACAUGGGCAGAUCUUGGGAGGAAACGAUCUUGUUAACGAACCGUGUUUUGACUUGAUAAAAAUAAUUCCCAGCUGUCCCGCUAAUGAACGUUACACAUGCUGCAAACCAUGCCCCGAGCCAGCCUGUCGUUUUACAAAAAAACCUUUAUGUCCCGUGCCAUGCAUUCGUGGUUGUGUUUGUUUGAAAGGUUACAUCCGCAUCACUUCUGGUGGAAAAUGUAUAAAAGUUGCCGCUUGUCAAAAGAUCGACAUUCUUCUCGCAUAGACAGGCUUAAAUGUGAAACGGUUCGGUUGAUUGCGAAUGGUAUGAUGCCCGUUUUAUUAUCAAUGCCCUAAUGUUGUGUUCGUUGUAUUUUCAAGUUGAAAUAAAAAUUUUGAGAAGUGCGCAAAAUUAUUGUAUUCGUUUAUGUCUACCAAUAUCGGAGGUAAACGGCGCCGGUUCUAUACUACAGGACCGGAUAUCCUGUAA